UGCUGUCUCCGAUGUUGGUAGGGCAUUAAGCGAGUGAGCGAGUGAGUUGUGGAUGGGGUUUAGGGUUUAUGAUCUUCGUUACCACCACAAGGGCUCCUCCGAUCCAUCGCACUCCCUCUCUCCAAUCCCGCUGCUCUUGCGUCGCCCUUCGUCAACCAAGGAAAUGGACGGAGGCAAGGAGGCUCCCAAGAGCCAUGCGCGGCGGGAUAAGUUGCUGGAGAUAGAACGGUCUGUUCAGAAGAAGUGGGAGGAUGGGAAGGUUUUUGAGGUGGAGGCUCCGUCGGAGAAAGCCAAGGAAGACGAGAAGUUCUUUGGGAAUUUCCCGUAUCCUUACAUGAAUGGGUAUCUUCAUCUUGGCCACGGGUUCACAAUAUCUAAGCUGGAGUUUGCAGCUGCGUAUCACCGUUUGAUUGGGAAGAAGGUUCUCUUUCCUUUUGCCUUUCAUUGUACCGGUAUGCCCAUCAAGGCUUGUGCGGAUAAGUUAGCGCGAGAGGUUAAGAACUAUGGGAAUCCUCCAGUCUUUCCCCAGAUAGAGGAAGAGAGUGAGGCAGUCAGCAAGGCGCAAGCUGCUGCCGCGGAGAAGGUACAGCAGGAGGCUGAAAAAGCCGAGCCAGCGAAGUUUAAGAGUAAGAAGUCGAAAGCCGCCUCGAAGACUGGGCCUGCAAAACAUCAAUGGGAGAUCAUGCAGUCGCUGGACCUUGACGAUGAGGUAAUUUCCAAGUUUCAGGAUCCGUACUAUUGGCUAGAGUUUUUCCCACCGGUAGCGAAGGAGCAUCUGAAGUCAUUCGGGCUCGGAGUGGAUUGGAGGCGCUCUUUCAUCACCACUGACAUGAACCCAUACUACGACUCGUUUGUGAGGUGGCAUCUUCAGACCUUGAAAAAUAAAGGCAAGGUGGAAAAGGCUACCCGGUACGCAAUAUAUUCUCCAUUUGAUGGCCAACCCUGUGCAGAUCAUGACAGAGCUUCAGGUGAAGGAGUGCAGCCUCAGGAUUAUACUCUCAUCAAGAUGGAAAUCAAGGCGCCUUUUACAGGGAAACUUGAAGUGCUUGCUGGUCGGAGGGUGUUUCUUGCAGCUGCUACACUGCGCCCUGAGACUAUGUAUGGCCAAACGAAUGCGUGGGUGCUCCCUGACGGUCAGUAUGGUGCUUACGAAAUUGAUGACACUGAAGUCUUCAUUGUAACUUACCGUGCUGCCCUCAAUCUUGCUUAUCAGCGAAAAUCCAGGAUUCCAGAGAAGCCUACUUGUCUGGUGGAACUUACUGGGCAUGAUUUGAUUGGGCUGCCUCUCCAGUCUCCACUUACUAGUUACGAUACAAUUUACGCUCUGCCUAUGCUCACAAUUUUGACGGACAAAGGAACAGGGAUCGUGACAAGCGUGCCGAGUGAUUCUCCUGAUGAUUACAUGGCCAUGAAAGAUUUGAAGGCAAAACCUGCAUUGCGUCAGAAGUUUAAUGUGAAAGACGAGUGGGUCAUGCCUUUCGAGAUUAUCCCUAUCAUUAAUAUUCCUGGGUUUGGAGACGUUGCAGCAGAGAAGGUUUGUACGGACCUGAAAAUUCAAAGUCAGAAUGACAAGGAGAAGUUAGCAGAGGCUAAGAGACAAACAUAUCUUAAAGGAUUCACUGAUGGAGUAAUGCUGAUUGGAGACCACCAGGGCUCGAAAGUAUCAGAUGCGAAGCCAUUGAUACGGAAGAUGUUGGAGCUGGAAGGCAUGGCUGUCCCUUACAGUGAACCUGAGAAGAAGGUGAUGUCUAGAUCUGGGGACGAGUGUGUCGUGGCCUUGACAGAUCAAUGGUACUUGCUGUAUGGAGAGGAGGAAUGGAAAGCCCUGUCAGAGGAGUGCCUGAAAGGAAUGGAACUUUUCAAUGAUGAAGCCAGACAUGGUUUCGAGCACACCCUGGGUUGGCUUAAUCAAUGGGCAUGCUCACGGUCAUUUGGUUUAGGAACACGGGUGCCGUGGGACCCUCAAUUCUUGAUUGAGUCUCUUUCGGACUCGACCAUAUAUAUGGCCUUUUACACAGUAGUGCAUCUCCUUCAAGGUGGUGAUAUGUACGGAAAGAGCGUUGGUGCCGUACGGCCAGAGGAUAUGACUCAUGCCGUCUGGGACUAUGUAUUCCAAGAAGGUCCUCUUCCUGAGACAAAUAUUCCGGCUGAACUGCUGCAGAAGAUGAGAACUGAAUUUGAGUACUGGUACCCAUUUGACCUCCGUGUGUCAGGGAAGGAUCUGAUUCAGAAUCAUUUGACGUUUUGCAUUUACAAUCAUACUGCGAUGUUUCCGAAGGAGAAGUGGCCUAAGGGAUUCCGGUGCAAUGGACAUCUCCUACUGAACUCUGAGAAGAUGUCUAAAUCAACCGGCAAUUUCUUGACCAUCCUGUCGUCUAUUGAGUUGUUCUCAGCAGAUGCUACGAGGUUUGCUCUAGCUGAUGCUGGAGAUGCUAUGGACGAUGCAAACUUUGUUUUCGAAACGGCAAACUCUGCUAUUUUGCGUCUGACGAAGGAGAUUGCUUGGAUGGAACAAGUUAUUGGAGCAGAUUUGGUGCUUCGAUCAGGUCCUACUACCUCGUUCCCAGAUAGGGUUUUCGAGAAUGAGCUGAAUAUCGCCAUCAAGGAGACACAAAUGCAUUACAGUAACUACAUGUUCAGGGACGCAUUAAAGACUGGUUUCUAUGAUCUUCAGACUGCUCGGGAUGAGUACAGGUUGGCGUGUGGGGCAGAGGGAAUGCACAAGGAUUUGAUUUGGAGAUUUAUGGACGUGCAGACAAGGCUUAUCACUCCCAUUUGCCCUCAUUAUGCGGAGCAUGUAUGGACUGAUUUGUUCAAGAAAGAGGGUUAUGCAGUUACAGCGGGAUGGCCAACCCCUACUGGUGCUAUUGACCUCAUUCUGCAACGUGCUAACAAGUAUUUACAGGAUGUAAUCAAGACCUUGAGAAACGUUUUGCAAAAGCAAUCCGCCCCUAAAAAGGUUAAGCAGGGUAAAGGAGGCGCUGCCCCACCUGCUGCUAAACUGACUAUUGCCCUCAUCUAUGUUGCUGAGAAGUAUAGUGGGUGGCAAGAGGAGUGUUUAAAGAUAUUGAAAAGCAAGUAUACCGCCAGUACAAAAUCUUUCUGUUCUGACUCUGAGAUUGUGGCUACCUUGAAGAGUAGUAGUUUGGGCCAAGAGGCGGGAUUUAAACAGAUCCAGCAACAGUGCAUGCCGUUUAUCAAGUUCAAGAAGGAUGAGACGCUGGCUGUGGGUGAGCAUGCGCUGGACGUGAAGCUUCCAUUUGGAGAGAUUGAGGUUCUGAAAGAGAAUCUAGAAUUCAUCACAAGUCAGCUCUUAUUGGAAAAGGUGCAAAUUUACUCCUACACAGAUGCUGAUGCUCUGGCUAUGGCGGGCGCGCAGCAAACUCAGCUGAAGCAGAAACCUCCAACACCUGGGAACCCUGCUCCUGCUUUCCUUUCGACUUCAGAGGUCUCUUUGGCGGACUUGAAAUUGAAUUGAGCUUUCCGCAAUUAUCAUGUCCUGUUGGUAUGCCCUAAAAUCUCAUUAUCCGAAAUUGUGCAAAGUUGUGCAAUCUUUCCUGUGUUUUGGCACGCAAGUUUGGGCUCUCAAGCUUUUCAGGAACCUCAGACCUGCGACACUUGAUAUGCCUGUGCCCAAUCCAAUUGUGGAGGUUUUCAAGAUUUUGAAAGGUGCAAAGGCUGUGAGAUCUAUGUUAUUUGACCGAUGGUUGCUCGUAAUAGUAGACCUUAGCAAGAUCCUGACUUGGUGACUGAUUUUUAAGCCUCUUGUUCCUAUUCUAAACAGUAAGCACAUUAAUGUGUAGCUAGGUAGUUUAUCAUGGACAGAUCGGUAUUUUUUAGGUGUUCCAAAAGUCCUGAGUUCUGUUGAGAGUUUCGUACAGGAGGUGAUCUUUUCUUUCCGACUGCUCAAUUGCAAUGGAAAAAAUACCAUGAUUUCUUACAGGAAAUCAUUUUUAACUUCAAAAGUAGUUGUUAUUCUUGCCGGUGACAGCUGCUGAUGAAAAGAGUGGAAAAACUGCUUGUGUGAACUACAAGUUAACAGCAUUUAUCCCGUGUUCUAUUCUAUUUCAAACCAAAA